AACACAUGCAAGUCGAGGGGCAUCACGAGGUAGCAAUACUUUGGUGGCGACCGGCAGACGGGUGAGUAACGCGUAUGCAACCUACCCUGUACAGGGGGAUANNNNNNNNNNNNNNNNNNNNNNNNNNNNNNNNNNNNNNNNNNNNNNNNNNNNNNUAAUUAAAGUUCCGGCGGUACGGGAUGGGCAUGCGUAACAUUAGCUAGUUGGUAAGGUAACGGCUUACCAAGGCUUUGAUGUUUAGGGGUCCUGAGAGGGUGGUCCCCCACACUGGUACUGAGACACGGACCAAACUCUUACGGGAGGCAGCAGUGAGGAGUAUUGGUCAAUGGCCGGAAGGCUGAACCAGCCAUCCCGCGUGCAGGAUGACGGCCCUAUGGGUUGUAAACUGCUUUUGUACCUGAAGAAUAGGCCCAACGAGUUGGGAUUUGCCGGUACCGUAAGAAUAAGGAUCGGCUAACUCCGUGCCAGCAGCCGCGGUAAUACGGAGGAUCCAAGCGUUAUCCGGAUUUACUGGGUUUAAAGGGUGCGUAGGCGGAUUGAUAAGUCAGUGGUGAAAGCCUGCAGCUUAACUGCAGAACUGCCAUUGAUACUGCCAGUCUGGAGUAUGGUUGAGGUAGCUGGAAUGUGUCAUGUAGCGGUGAAAUGCUUAGAGAUGACACAGAACACCGACGGCGAAGGCAGGUUACCAACCCAUUACUGACGCUGAGGCACGAAAGCGUGGGGAUCAAACAGGAUUAGAUACCCUGGUAGUCCACGCCGUAAACUAUGAUUACUAGUUGUUGGCGAUACAUUGCCAGUGACUGAGCGAAAGCAUUAAGUAAUCCACCUGGGGAGUACGUUCGCAAGAAUGAAACUCAAAGGAAUUGACGGGGGCCCGCACAAGCGGAGGAGCAUGUGGUUUAAUUCGAAGCAACGCGAAGAACCUUACCAGGGCUUGACAUCCUACGAAUCCUUAGGAAACUAGGGAGUGCCCUUCGGGGAGCCUGGAGACAGGUGGUGCAUGGUUGUCGUCAGCUCGUGUCGUGAGAUGUUGGGUUAAGUCCCGCAACGAGCGCAACCCUUGUCUUUAGUUGCCAUCAUUCAGUUGGGCACUCUAAAGAGACUGCCGGUGUUAAACCGGAGGAAGGUGGGGAUGACGUCAAGUCCUCAUGGCCCUUAUGUCCAGGGCGACACACGUGCUACAAUGGCCGAUACAAAGGGCAGCAACACAGCGAUGUGAAGCCAAUCCCAUAAAGCCGGUCUCAGUUCGGAUUGUAGGCUGCAACUCGCCUACAUGAAGUUGGAAUCGCUAGUAAUCGCAGGUCAGCAUACUGCGGUGAAUACGUUCCCGGGCCU
rnacentral:rRNA from 1 species